UACGGGGGGGGCAAGCGUUUGUUCGGAAUUACUGGGCGUAAAGCGCGCGUAGGCGGCUUUGCAAGUCGAUUGUGAAAUCCCCAGGCUUAACCUGGGAACUGCAUUCGAGACUGCAUAGCUAGAGUAUGGGAGAGGGAAGUGGAAUUUCAGGUGUAGCGGUGAAAUGCGUAGAUAUCGGAAGGAACAUCAGUGGCGAAAGCGGCUCCUGGACCGGCAUUGACGCUGAGGAGCGAAAGCUAGGGGAGCAAACGGG
rnacentral:rRNA from 1 species